GCUAACGCGGGGCAGGCGGCGGCGGUAAUGCGGGGGGUUCAAGCGUUAUCCUGAGUUAUUGGGUUUAAAGGGUCCUUAGGCUGACUUAUAAGUCAGUGGUGAAAGCCUGUCGCUUAACGAUAGAACUGCCAUGGAUACUGUAAGUCUUGAGUAUAUUUGAGGUAGCUGGAAUAAGUAGUGUAGCGGUGAAAUGCAUAGAUAUUACUUAGAACACCAAUUGCGAAGGCAGGUUACCAAGAUAUAACUGACGCUGAGGGACGAAAGCGUGGGGAGCGAACAGGAUUAGAUACCCGAGUAGUC
rnacentral:rRNA from 1 species